GACGAACGCUGGCGGCGUGCCUAAUACAUGCAAGUUGAGCGCUGAAGGUUGGUACUUGUACCGACUGGAUGAGCAGCGAACGGGUGAGUAACGCGUGGGGAAUCUGCCUUUGAGCGGGGGACAACAUUUGGAAACGAAUGCUAAUACCGCAUAAAAACUUUAAACACAAGUUUUAAGUUUGAAAGAUGCAAUUGCAUCACUCAAAGAUGAUCCCGCGUUGUAUUAGCUAGUUGGUGAGGUAAAGGCUCACCAAGGCGAUGAUACAUAGCCGACCUGAGAGGGUGAUCGGCCACAUUGGGACUGAGACACGGCCCAAUCUCCUACGGGAGGCAGCAGUAGGGAAUCUUCGGCAAUGGACGAGAGUCUGACCGAGCAACGCCGCGUGAGUGAAGAAGGUUUUCGGGUCGUAAAACUCUGUUGGUGGGGAAGAACGUUGGUGAGAGUGGAAAGCUCAUCAAGUGACGGUAACUACCCAAAAAGGGACGGCUAACUACGUG
rnacentral:rRNA from 1 species